rnacentral:rRNA from 1 species
GACAGAGGGUGCAAACGUUGUUCGGAAUUACUGGGCGUAAAGCGCGUGUAGGCGGCUAAGUAAGUCGGGCGUGAAAUCCCACGGCUCAACCGUGGAAGUGCACUCGAAACUGCAUAGCUAGAGUCCUGGAGAGGAAGGUGGAAUGCUUGGUGUAGAGGUGAAAUUCGUAGAUAUCAAGCGGAACACCGGUGGCGAAGGCGGCCUUCUGGACAGUGACUGACGGCUG